ACGGAAGGCAGCAGUGGGGAAUAUUGCACAAUGGGGGAAACCCUGAUGCAGCGACGCCGCGUGAGUGAAGAAGUAUUUCGGUAUGUAAAGCUCUAUCAGCAAGGAAGAAAAUGACGGUACUUGACUAAGAAGCCCCGGCUAACUACGUGCCAGCAGCCGCGGUAAUACGUAGGGGGCAAGCGUUAUCCGGAUUUACUGGGUGUAAAGGGAGCGUAGACGGUAAUGCAAGUCAGAAGUGAAAGCCCAAGGCUCAACCAUGGGACUGCUUUUGAAACUGUAAUACUAGAGUGCAGGAGAGGUAAGUGGAAUUCCUAGUGUAGCGGUGAAAUGCGUAGAUAUUAGGAGGAACACCAGUGGCGAAGGCGGCUUACUGGACUGUAACUGACGUUGAGGCUCGAAGGCGUGGGGAGCAAACAGGAUUAGAUACCCUGGUA
rnacentral:rRNA from 1 species